rnacentral:lncRNA from 1 species
GUUCAUAUUUGACUACUUUGGUUAUGUUUUAAUGUGUGUCUCAAUAAAUUUGCUUGCAAUAGUGUUUGUGCUUGAAGAUGGAUGGUUCUUGAAAGUGACCAUGACGUCUAAGAAGGUGAUGAAUUGUGCUAGCUUCCUUUUGGAGUUCUAGAGACGCGCCGACUCCAUAAGGGUGAAUUCAAGGAACAGGGACGGUAUGAUCCUCCUCUCUUCGUCUUCUUGCUUGCUUCAACUUAAGACAGUUGCUCCUUUAUGUGCAAUAGAACACGAAGUGUGUUUGGCAGCGCCCUACUAGCACAUCUAGAUAGAUUACUUUCUUACAUAGGUUUUGACUAGGUGGUAUAGCCAUAGUUUAGAGUAGAAUUUUAAGUUUCCUAAUUCAACCCCCCUCUUAGGUAUCACAAGUUCAUAGAACGGCCCAGACAUAAGGGUGGUGGAAGGUGCCGCAAGCCACGCUGCAUGCUCUAACAAGAGGGGGUCAUGGCUGGGUGGACGACACGCCAUCAUUGCCAGCCACAACGGUAGCUUGAUGACGGGGGACCAGAUCACCCUCCAACGAGGCUCGUUUGUGGGGAAGGAACGACACCACCCACGAAGCUCCUUCCCCUGCACUUCUCCUUGUAUGCCAAGGCUCCUCUGUUGAACUAUAAAAGGGAGGUCUUGGGGCUCUUUUAGAGCAAUCUCUUUGUACUUCUAAGGCCUUGUUUAGUUACAUCUGAAAUCUAUUUUUUUUUAAGAUUCGCU